rnacentral:lncRNA from 1 species
AGCUGAAUUUCUAGUCGUGAUGCGUAAUUUCUGAUUUAGUUAAUUUCUUCUACUCCUUCAUAUUAAACCUUCUAGUAAUUCAAGAAAAAUAUCUAAGUGAAAGAUCAAGUAGAAAAUUAAAGCAAGAUAGACCAUUUUUAUUUCUUUAGAUCAAACUCGAGAGAACUAACAAUGGCACGUAACAACUGGAAAAAAAAAAAUGGCACAAGCCCAUGUAAAUUAUCACGUAACAUCUAUGCAAGUUCACCAUGGUUAUUGUAAAUCAACAUCAAUAUAAUUCCGAUCACUCAGUCAUCUUAUUUCGUGAAGAAAGAUUUUUUUUUUUUUUGAAAAAAUAUCAUUUAUCAUGGUCGUGGAGGGGGGUGGGGGGAGGGAAGUUACAAAAGAUAAGGAAGAAUUACAUCAACCUACUCGAAUUUUCUUGCUGGGAAGAGCGAGAAAAAUAGAGGUAAGAUCACGUGGAACUGGGUGGAAACCCUGAGGUGGAGGCUGGACUUUCCUCUUGACCGGCCGGGGCUUCCUCGGGGCCGGCGGGCAAACCAACGCCGGCUUCAGUACAUGCUCUUCGGACUUGGGUGUCACGCACUCCACCUCGUUCUUGGGAGACGACUCCGGCUGGGGCUCACCGUCGGGCUUGUUGGUAUGGUUCCCGGUGGUCUGAAUUGGUGGGAGGCAUGGCAAUUCGCCCACGACAAGCUCUAAGCCCAUGGUUUCAAGUUGACAAGAGGAAGAGUAGUGGGAGAGACAAGAACUGGGCUGGGAUAAUUGAAGACGUGGAUAGUGAUGGUGGGGGUGUAAAGGUGUAACCCGCAAGGGGCUUAAGGAGGGGAAGGGCAGGCGUGGAGACACAUGAGAUGGUGGUGAUGAUGGGCUUGGCAAGAGGAGAUGGGAAAAAAGGGAGAACAGAAUUAUAUAGAGAGGUAGUGCAAAGAGUUAAAUAGUCACAAAAGUCACACACACACACUCACACACACACACACACAGAGGAGGGGGGAUGCAAUGCAAAUGAUUGUGGGGAAUGAGGUAGGAGAAGUUCGGAAGGUACAGAGAGGAAAAGGUAAGAAGCCGAAAGAACAAGGAAACAGGAGUUAAGGCAGCCUUAACUCUGGGCAUGGCUGUGGCCAUCUGGGGCUGAGUAUUGCCCCAAGUGGGUCCUUCGAGUUGGCCUCUGUAGUGAAGGUGGGGUGCACCACGGUCCGGUGGGCCAUUGGUCCACAGAGCCCAUGGUUAAGAUGUCGUCUUGGUAGCGCAAUGCCUUGAUUCCAGCCAUCCAUUUUGCUAUUCUUAUCACUGCACCCAGUUCAUCCUUAAUUACCCAGGAGAAGGGCUCCAUGAUGAAUCGGAGUAAAAAGAUAU